ACGGAGGGUGCAAGCGUUAUCCGGAUUCACUGGGUUUAAAGGGUGCGUAGGCGGGUAGGUAAGUCAGUGGUGAAAUCCUGGAGCUCAACUCCAGAACUGCCAUUGAUACUAUCUAUCUUGAAUAUUGUGGAGGUAAGCGGAAUAUGUCAUGUAGCGGUGAAAUGCUUAGAUAUGACAUAGAACACCCAUUGCGAAGGCAGCUUACUACGCAUAUAUUGACGCUGAGGCACGAAAGCGUGGGGAUCAAACAGGAUUAGAUACCCUGGUAGUCCACGCCCUAAACGAUGAUUACUCGACAUCAGCGAUACACUGUUGGUGUCUAAGCUAACGCAUUAAGUAAUCCACCUGGGAAGUACGAUCGCAAGAUUG
rnacentral:rRNA from 1 species